UUUCAUCCAAGAUCUCACCCCUCUAAAAAAAAAAAAACUUUCACGAAUACCGAAAACAAAGAAAAGCCAUCAAUUUCCAUAGUCACAAAUCCUUAUAAUCUCUCUUGCCAAUUAACCUAAUAAUUGCCAUGACAAAGAAAACAAAAUAUUAUCAUGGCGAAAAGCAACACCAUUACAAACUCUUGUCAUCUUUUCAUCCUUGUAAUUGAUCUGAUCAUUUUCCUUUCGUUACCUCUUUCAGAUGCUACACAAGAUAACAAUUUAAUGGAGACAAUGUUUCCCACAAUUGAGGUAACUUUAGCCAAUGAUAAUAGCAAACCAAUCUAUUACAUGUGUAGAGAUUUUGACACCUAUAACAGAUUGGCAAGGCUUGAACCAGGUACAAACUAUAAAUUUAACAUCACUCAAAUUGCUUUCCCUAUGAGAUGGUGUUAUUUAUACAUAAAUCCACGUACCCAUGGUUUUUUUUGGGCUUAUAAUGUAAGAUCAAGAUGUACAAAAUGCUUUUGGAGUGUCACAAAUUUCCCAUAUUUGUAUAAAGCAGAUCGUGUAAGGUGGGAACGUGAAAAGCUUUUCACCCCUGUUGGAUUCAAUAUUAAUGACUAUUUGUUAAAGAACAUUUGAAAAUGUUGGAUAUCUAGAUUCUAAGGUUUAUGAAAAAUUUCUUGAUUUGAACUAAGAUAUUUACGUACACAAUGUUAUGAUCAUUUUAUAAGUUUUCUUUAUGAAAAGAAGAUAGAGAUACAUUGGAAUGUUGGAUAUAUGGAUUCCAAGGUAUCAUAUUUGUUUUAUUUUUAAAUAGAUGUUUAUAAUAAUGUUCACGUAUUGUAAAAUAUUGUUAGAAUGAAACGAUAUUCAUGAACUAUUGAAAGCCUAUCUUCAUGCUUAUACAUGUUUUUGUUCAUUUGUUGUUCUUCUUCUUCUCUAAUUGCUCUCAGUUUUGCAAUAUAUAACUAAAUUAUAUAAGCAAAUUUACAGUUAAUGGAUUGCAUCUCUAAUCUUCAUUAAUACAUAAUCUAAAAAAAAAGCUUAUGUAAUUUACGACUAUUAUGACGCUAAAAACUUGAUUAUUGGAUGAAAGGAAACCUUAUGUGUGCUAAAUUUACUUUUGCUUUCUACAGGAUCAAUCAGUGGAUUAAUUUGAUGUUUCAGUGAUGAAAUUUGAUUAUAACAAAGUCUAAUUUGAGCAAUAAACUACCUCUGCCACCAGUCAUUUCUUCAAAAUUCAGCAAGCCUACUUUAGUAUAUCGCAUAAAUUACAAUCAGUUAGCCACCCUCUGCCCUCUGUCUUAAGUUUUUAAGCAACGUUAAAUCUCACAAAUAAAAUAUUUCAUUGCGGGCCUGUUUAAAAAAUAUUUAACUUUGAAUUUAAAUUUUAAAGAAAGAAGAGGGAUAUAUCUAGGCAAGUUUUGAUAACCUGCUUGUGAAACUUAUGACUGAAGGUUAUUUUUACAGAAUUUUUUUAAACGGGAACAAAAUUUAAAUAGCACUUUUAAAUGACAAAAAUUGUAGAAAUAUGACACUUUUUGGGGUGUUCCGUAACUAUUGACUCUUGUUUGCCCCAUGGCAGAACGUCAAGGUUAAAAUUAAAAGAUGUUGCCAAUAAUGCAAGCAAAAGGUAACAUUUGUUAAAUUUAAAGUUCUAUCUUUGGGACAACCGGAGACAAAAAUUUAAGACCAUCUACUUUUAGGAAUAUUUGUAUACUUAACUCCUAAAACGAUCUUAAUUGUGCAAAUCUCCCAAAAAUAUUUGGAGCGUAAUUGAAUGGAGGGAUCUUAGCCCAAGCCCAAGUAACUCCUAACGGACUGGAUUUGUUUCCAAGUAUAGCGGGCUGGAUUAACUGCAAAUAAAUAGACCCAAAUUCGAACUCCACUUACUCUCAAUUUCUC
rnacentral:lncRNA from 1 species